CAUAAUUCCAGCUAUGGUGGAAUAAUGGCCAUUCUGUAUUAUCUCUGGUUAAAUUCUCCAAUCUGACUCUGGACUCUUCAAACCUCUCUUCCAGCAGGACAAGCUCCUAGCACCCAAGACAGUGCAGGGGAGAAAUCAGUAGGAAAGAACAGUGUUGUGUGCAAAUUGAAGUGGUUGGAAAAUCUAUUGGUCGUGCACAUUUUAAAAACUCUUUGUGAAAUAAAGUGUUGGACUCAGACUUCCAAGUGGCCACCAGUCUGGAGCAAAGUAUAUUGAGAAGUAAAAUGGUUUGUUUCUUCAACUGCUCAUCCCCUUUUGACAUCUGUUCCCUUGGAGGAUGCCAGUGCCCCAGGACCUGGUGCUGGAGAUAACGGCAGCUGGAGCUCACCAGCUUCUUGGACUCACAAAGGAACAAAACAAAACAAAACAAAACAAAACAGCUAAAGUAAGUAGGUCACAAGACUUGGUUACUGAAUGA
rnacentral:lncRNA from 1 species